GGUGAAAAAUGACUUGGAUAUUUAACACUCACACAGUGCUUACCAUGGCCAUGUUACAUCUCUGAUUGACAUCAGUCCCUAUAAAUUUAAUCAGCUGGGAAAGGACAGCAAGAAGGAGUAUGUGCAUGUGGCUCCUUCUCCAGAUGUCUACAGAGGGAAAUACAGGGAGGACCACCCAGAUCCAGCAAGUGCUUAUGCUGAAGAGGUGAAAAAGAUUAUUGAAGAAACACAGAAGAAUGGACGCAAGGUUUUGGUGGCAUAGACGUGUGGCAGGACAAGCUGUGCUAAAGGCUAAGCCUCACAUGCUGUGGGAAGCUCUGCACUCUUUGGCCGUGUGCUCAAAUGUAGCGUACGGUCCUUUACACCUUUCCGCUCGGCCUUGUUUCCAGGAAGACUGCACCAGCACAGAGACCUCUUGAUGCUCUGGGAGGGGUUCACAAGUGGUGUGGGGAUGCAAUCCCUUAACUAGCAGAUUUAUGCUUGGGGUAAUAUUGUAUCUCUGCUGCAUAGAUGGCUGCUGUUGACAAGAAAUGAAUUUCGAUGUUCCAGUGUGUCUGAUCUGCUGCUCUUACCCUUCCUGACUUGAAAUAACUUUCUUUUUCAUUCCUAGCAACUGGAAAUAUUUCAUCUGUAGAAUUUUUCUCUUCUUUUGUCAAGUGCCUUGUGCUGACAUGUUAUUUGUGUAGUUAUUUGCAUUAGGCAGGGGUGCCCAAAUGCUAGCCACAGGUCAUCUUACAGGUCAGCUUCCACCCCCCUCUACCUGGUGCUCAGGAUUAAACAAAAUCCCAGAUAUACCUGCAAGCUUUAUUAACUUCUUAGGGAAGAUGAUACACGCUGUUGUAUGUCUCCUGUGAACUGGCAUUUUAAAAUAAAUUUAUAUAGAUCCCAGGAGCCUAAUCCAACAUCCACUGACACCAGGAAGUAUCAUCCAGCUCAACACAAGGGCUUAAUGGAGAUUCUCCCUUCCCAUCAGGCUGCAAAGGUGGCCCUGGCUACUGCAAAUUUGGGCACUCCAAUUACAAAAUUAAUAAAUCCUUUAGCAAUAGCUGUUUUCAAGAGCUCUCAGUUGUGCAGCCCAUUGGGUGAUUAAAUUAAGGCCCACAUUUAAAUGUUUAUUUCUAGACUGUUAGAUGUCUCUGCCAAGGCCAAGUAGAUGAACACAGCUCUCACAUGA